CCAGGACGCUGAUGGAGCACUGCAGCACGCUGAUGGCAGAUGACUCGAGGUUCGGCAGGCCGCUGGGUACCAAGGGUGGAAUCUCGGCCUCCAACUGCGGGGGUAGCAGCAGCGCCAGCAGCAGCAGCCCCAGCCCCAGCCUGACCAUCAUGCCUCCGCCCAUCUCAGUUGUCGCUUGCCGAGCGUCCGAUUCGCUGCCCUGGCGCAAAAGAUAACAAGGGCGACAGACAGAAGCAGGCGAAGUGGAGAGCGCGGCUGCCGGCCGGGGCUUAUAUAGCAGGGAGUCACAAUGUCGUGACGUCACGACGCAUACGUGCGCUCGCCCCGCCCCCUGCAGGUGCGCCACGCCCAGGGGCUCUCCCGCCCAUAGGGACUCCACCGCUGGCCUGGCAUCUCACCUGUGAACCAAAAACGUGCAAAACAACUCACUUUCCGAGUGCCUACACCCGAAGCUUAGAAACCUAAGGUUUCCAUUCUCUUUGUGCCAAGGGACUGAUUUUUUUUUUUCCUGGUCCCUAAAAGGGAUGCACGCUUGUAGUUCAAAGUCGAGAGCUUGAUGUGUGUGGAAAGAGGCUCACACCCAGAGGUGGCCCCUGCUUGCAUUCGGUGUGCUUUUCUACGGUACAGACGUCUUUGACACCAUGGAGAUUUAUUCUGCACUUGACAUUUCUUUUUUAGAAACGAAUCGGAUUCUCUUCUCCUGAGCCCGUGGGGGCAGGGGCCUGAAGAGCUCUCCGGUGCCUGUUGUCACUGGGGAGUUCGUCCCUUCCUGGUGUCCUCCUGCUCAAGUAUUCUGGCUGAACGUGUAUAGUGGUAAGUUGCAGAUGCAGAGAAGGAAGGAACUGUCCUGAGAACCCCAGAGGCCACCACAGUCCCCUAGGUGCCUGCAUACCCGUGGGACCCUGCUGCAGUCAAGCGAGGUGUUUAAAGUCAAGGUCCUCCUGGCUCUGUUUUGGACUACUUUUUAACAAACAUUGAAACCAGCCUGCUCCACUUUUCCAGUGAUGGAGGACUCGUGUUUGGGACUUCUCCGCUCUGCUUAGAGGGUUCUCCCUGAUGAUGGGGCGAACCCGUGGCCAUCAUUGGCAGUCACCAGGUCAAAGACCUUUUCCUGUGAUGCCGGAACCUCCUGUCUUAAGAGGCAGCUGAACAAGCCAGAGGUUUUCCUCCCCCGUCUCCUCUGCAGCGCAGCUACCACCAAGUGAGCACGCUCUGUCUCUCCUGCUCCCCACUUUCCUGGUGUGAUGUCCUGAGCUGCUUUCCUCCUCCACACUCCUCCACCAUGAGUUCCUGUCUCAUCUCAAGCACAAAGCAAUGGAGCCAGCUGCCUAUGGAGUGAGCCCUCUGAAACCAGGAUCCCCAAAUAAACUCUUCCUCCUCUAA